rnacentral:rRNA from 1 species
ACUACCGAUUGAAUGGUUUAGUGAGGCUUCCUGACUGGCGCCGAUACUCUGGCAACAGAGCGUCGGAUGCCGGAAAGUUGGCCAAACUUGAUCAUUUAGAGGAAGUAAAAGUCGUAACAAGGUUUCCGUAGGUGAACCUGCGGAAGGAUCAUUACCGAUACAACAAGCUAACAACUGUGUUGUCUGCUGUGUGAACCGUACCCAACCUUAUCCAGGGGUCGGCCCGGGGGGCCGUUAAAUGGCGAUCGGACACGAAGUCUCGCGGCCGCUUCGCCUGCCCCGCCUUGGUUUUUUUUAAACAUACGUGUCUUGUCUGAUGUCUGUCGAGGCGUCCGCCUCGUCGAGUAGAAAAAAAAACGAGAGACAACUUUUGACGGUGGAUCUCUUGGCUCACGCAUCGAUGAAGAACGCAGCCAGCUGCGAUAAGUAGUGUGAAUUGCAGAAUUCAGUGAAUCAUCGAAUCUUUGAACGCAAAUGGCGCUCUUGGGUUCUCCCAGGAGCAUGUCUGUCUGAGUGUCGGAUUGUCAUCCAUCGCGGGUGCGCGCUGCCGUGCGCGCGCCGGCGGCGUUGAGGCGUCACGGCCUUUUUAACACAUGGGCCGUGUCCCUCGAAAGUCAGAGAGACUCGCUGUGGUUCGGGGCUCGUUCCCGCAGCGCAGCAGCGGAGGCCAAAAGUGUCAGCACUCCUUCGCGCGCUGCCGGGACCCCGCCGCGCCCGAGUCGUGUAGGCGAAAAACCAUGAUUCAUUCUCUUGACCUCAGAUCAGGCAAGGCUACCCGCUGAAUUUAAGCAUAUUAAUAAGCGGAGGAAAAGAAACUAACAAGGAUUCCCUCAGUAACGGCGAGUGAAGCGGGAAGAGCUCAAAUUUGAAAUCUCCGGUGCUUGCAUCGGCGAGUUGUAGUUGCGAGAAGCACUUUCUAGGUGGAUCGGCGGUGCCUAAGUUGCUUGGAACAGCACGUCGCAGAGGGUGACAACCCCGUCUGUGGCGCCGCCGGCCGCUGACGAUGUGCUUUCGAA